rnacentral:rRNA from 1 species
UACGUAGGGGGCAAGCGUUGUCCGGAUUUAUUGGGCGUAAAGAGCGUGUAGGCGGCCAUGCAGGUCUGCUGUGAAAACUCGAGGCUCAACCUCGAGACGUCGGCGGAAACCAUCUGGCUAGAGUCCGGAAGAGGAGAGUGGAAUUCCUGGUGUAGCGGUGAAAUGCGCAGAUAUCAGGAAGAACACCCGUGGCGAAGGCGGCUCUCUGGGACGGUACUGACGCUGAGACGCGAAAGCGUGGGGAGCGAACAGG